AGAUAAAGAUAUUUAAAGCAGGUUUAGUCAUUAUUCCUGAGGUAUGACUUCAUUAUUGCAAGUUGGAAUCACAUAGUUUUAGAGCCGAGUUAGAUCAAACUGAAACUUACCCAAUAGUCCCACAGACAGAUCUUUUUGAAAAACAUAGAAAUUGACCCUCCUGGUCUUAAAGUGUGAAACUUAUAUUUGUUUUAUCUAAGUUCCUUCCUCAGGACAGGACCUUCAGGCUUCUAAAAAAGUAUAAAAGAAUGGAAACUCACCAGAUCACUGCAGC
rnacentral:lncRNA from 1 species